AACGAACGCUGGCGGCAGGCUUAACACAUGCAAGUCGAACGCCCCGCAAGGGGAGUGGCAGACGGGUGAGUAACGCGUGGGAAUCUACCUAGUUCUACGGAACAACACAGGGAAACUUGUGCUAAUACCGUAUACGCCCUAAGGGGGAAAGAUUUAUCGGAAUUAGAUGAGCCCGCGUAAGAUUAGCUAGUUGGUGGGGU
rnacentral:rRNA from 1 species